rnacentral:rRNA from 1 species
AGCAGCCGCGGUAAUUCCAGCUCCAAUAGCGUAUAUUAAAGUUGUUGCAGUUAAAAAGCUCGUAGUUGAAUUUCGGGAUCAAAUUGUCGGUCGUGCCUCGGUACGUACUGGUAUUAUUGGUUCCUCCCUUCUGACGAACCACGAUGUCAUUAAUUUGGUGUCAUGGGAAAUCAGGACUGUUACUUUGAAAAAAUUAGAGUGUUUAAAGCAGGCUCGCGCUUGAAUACAUUAGCAUGGAAUAAUGAAAUAGGACGUUUGAUUCUAUUUUGUUGGUUUCUAGGAUCGACGUAAUGAUUAAUAGGGAUAGUUGGGGGCAUUAGUAUUCAAUUGUCAGAGGUGAAAUUCUUGGAUUUAUUGAAGACUAACUACUGCGAAAGCAUUUGCCAAGGAUGUUUUCAUUAAUCAAGAACGAAAGUUAGGGGAUCGAAGACGAUCAGAUACCGUCGUAGUCUUAACCAUAAACUAUGCCGACUAGGGAUCGGAUGAUGUUAAUUUUUAAUGACUCAUUCGGCGCCUUACG